CAAAUUGACGCCAUUGGUACCGCCACCAGAGCCACUACAUUCAUUGGUUCAUUUUUUGACUCAUAUCCAGCAGUACAAUAAUUGCUUUCAAAUGACAUCAUUUGGGGCAACAAAAGUUAUACGAGACAAUUUUUUGCCUACUUUUAGCAAAUUCAGGGAUUCAAAUAUAUCAUCAAACAGGUUCCUUAUUGCCAGUGCCUGUUGAAGACUAUACAUUUUUGCAAAUAUAUUUUAUGGACAAUUCAGCAAGAGAAGUCGAUCAGCGUUGCGCACACAACAACUCAGUAAAGAGAUCCAUUGUGAUAAACAAGUUCAAACAUUUUUCCUUCAACACAAUGAAUUAGUUGCAUUAGACCGAUGCAUUAGACAUUCACAAAUGCAUUAGACCGCAUGCCAUCAGAUAAUCACAAAAUUGUCAUCAGAGCCGAUAAGGCGCCUGCAGGACAGUGAAAUGAUUGAAUCUUAUGAAAUAAACACUAUUAUGAAAAUAUAUUUUGAUUUUUUUUUAAAUUAGUAAAUUCCUUUUCAGGUAUAGUGAGAUCAGGAAAUUAUGGAUUCAUUUUUAUAUGGAGGAUAUUUAUAGAUUCCAAUUCAAAUUGAAUAGGGACUCAUACAUAACUCAGCUAUACAAAAUAAAGUAGAGCAUCAUUGCUACGCGAAAGCGGUACGAAGUUCGCUGGGUCAGCUAGUCUAU